GGACCCAUAGCUCAGUGGGUAGAGCAUGUGCUUUGCAUGCAGAAGAUCCCAGGUUCCAUCCCUUUCCAGGUACG